rnacentral:misc_RNA from 1 species
GUUGCUCCUUACAAUUGUAUGUGGGUAUUUAUUCUUCGGGUUAAUGAGGAAUCUACAGUAUAUGAACAAGUGUGUUGCAUGUACACAUGUAUUUGAUUUUUGUGUCUAGUUAGUAAAUUGUCAAUCUGGACAAUUAUGCAUCCUUGAAAAGGUCUUAUUUUAGAAAUUAUUGUAUGAAAAACAUAGUGUUUCAAUAGUGCUUGCUUUCAAGUGAUCAAACAUAAUAUUGCUGAUUUUACAAUUUUAUUUUUUUGUUGUUGUUUUGUUUUGAAGAGAUAUUUUAUUAGUUUUUUUGUAUAUCUUUACCUGAAUUGUUAUGAGAUUUCUUUGCUAUAACUUAAAUUGGUUAGGAAAGUACAUGCACGUACUGUGGAGCAUAAUGCAUUUGUUACCAUUUCACGUUAUAUAAUAUUGUCUCAAUGUCAUAUCAGUUAAUGUUAGUAGAAUCCUUUGUCAAAAUCUAGAAAAAAAAAAUUUAAAUAGUAAAAUUACUACAUCGUUCUUAAAAGCUACAUGUACCAUAAUCCUGUCAACUGGCGAUUAAAUUAUUAUAAAAAAAGAAGUUGCUAAUAUUGCACCUAUUCCCCUCACUUAAAGCAGUCUUCAUUUGUCAGAAAUUUAAAAAAAAUAAACAUAUAAAAGUCAGUAGAUGUUGUGGAACUCUAGUGUUUCCAUCUUGAUUUGAAAGAAACAAUUUUUGCAUGUAGGUCAAUAUAAUUUGAUUCUAACUGAUGGCAUUAUUUUAAAAAAAAAAACCCAAAAAACAACCAUGAUAUUACUAUGAUGUACUCUGAAUAUUUAUUUUACUGGUAAUUUGAAAUUUUUGAAACAUGUGUAAUAUAUGGUAAUUUUAAUACAGGAAAUGAUAUUUAUAUGGGUAUACAUGGGUAUGGCUAUUACAUAUUGUGAACUAGUUAUCUGAAACAAAUGAACAAAUUCCUUGUAAAAAUAAUUUUUUUUUUCAUUUCUGUUUCAUUUUCAUCUGCAGUUUAAGAAAUGUAAAUUAUUGGGAAAAUGAAGAUAUCUAAUUGAAAUACAUGAAGUGUAUUAUGAAGAAUUAAAUGAUGUCAGAUUAUAACAUGAAUGUUUGCCUUAGCUGAUUGAAUUGAGUUUUGCAUCAAACACCUGACUUUACCACCAAUUGCAGCUCUUAAAACAACCCACUUGAAUAUUUUAUAUGUUUCUCAUCUCUUUAAUUAGAAGUUUUCUUAUUUAAAGUAAUGUACAACUAUUAACUAGUAACAAUUAUUUAAUUUAAUACCAUGAAGAUAUUAACAAAUUCUAUUAUUGAAUGCCCCUUUUUGCAGAAUACAUACAGAAGAAUGAAAAAAAAACCCACAACUUGAUUCAUAUGAAUAAAAAUAAGUCUAAUUGAUUAUUGUAGUUUAAUUACUAAAGAAAUUUUAAAUGAUUAUUAGCAAUUAACUUAUAAUGUGAGGUAUCAACAAUUAAAAGGAAAGUAGUCUUUUCAAUUGGGAUGAAAAUUCUAUACUGUAUUUAUUAAGUCAAAGGGUCCAUGAAAAGAUUAAGGGUAGUGUAGAAAUUUUGAUAUCUUGAAACAAAAAAAUUGCAAAAUAUGGAAACAGCAAAAUGCAGAUUCAUAUCAAAUGUUUUUAAAUUGUUGAAUUUCGUUUUGGAUUGAUCAUGUGAACAAUUUAGAUCAUUGGGCUUUUUUGCUUUUGUUGGACAUCUACAUUAGAUGGGUUAUUACAGUUUGUUCUACAAUAGAAAUACAAUAUUUGUUUCCCUUGUGUUACAAGUUUGUUUAAUGGCAGUGAAUAAAUUCAAAUUUUGGAUU